GCGUGUUUUGUUCGGCGCAUUUCACGGCCGACGCAUACGAGGACAAGGUAUGGCUUAAAAAGAGUAUGGGCAUGGACUACAAGCCACGACUGAAGCAAGACGUUGUGCCAACCAUUUUCUCGCACAAGAGGAGACAAGCUCAGCGCACACUGGGUGCAUUUGCGAAGAGAAGGCGGAUGGAGACUGUUUCAAAGCUUCUCUCUUCACCGGCUGGACCACCCACAAGCUGCUCUGUUGCUGUACAAAUACCAGCAGAGCCGCUGACUCAGGCCAUGAACUGCACCGGGUCAGUGGCUGUGGGGGCAGCGGAUGGCGAUUGUCCAGAUGCAAGUGCUCCCCUAGACUUCAGUGUUCCAUUUGUAAACAGCGACACCUCACAGUCGUCUAAGCAGGAUAAAAAUGUGCAGGUGUUGGUGAGGCCAGGGACAAAGUCUGCACACAUUCAAGGGUGCAGACAUUCUUUCCAUACACCAAUGCAGCUUGCCAGACAAAUCAAUGGAAGCCAAAAGAAGCUCAUCUAGAGGACAGCUGUGACGAGUUGGGCAAACCAGACGCAAGCAGGGAAGAUCCUAGAGCCAAGCAUGACAAGGACUACGUCCCCUCAGAGGAGUACCAAGAAAGGAGGACAUUGUCUCCUGGCUCGAGGGAAGAAGAAGAAGCAGGGACCAUGGAAUCCUGCGCUGCAACGAACUGACCAUACCCAACGUCAUUGCAGAGAGGUGGCACAACCAGAGCGUAACGAAGCAAACACAGUGAGUGAACCAUCGAAUGAAACAAUGUGUUAAAACAACAUACAACAGUGCACCUUAUUUUUCUUUGUGAAUGUGUUCCGACCCCGUGGACAUGAAGGGGGAGACCGCAACUCCGACGGGGGGCCAGCUGUGUUUAUACCUCUGGCAAGGAGGGGUGCUCAGACAGGAGAGGAGGACGAUCGUUUGCUGAGCGUCUGCUGCCGUGGGGCCUCGACCACCCCCGCGGGCUCUGGGCGUUGCCCGGGAGGGUGAAAGAAGACACUCAGCUUCCAGGCACCGAUGAA
rnacentral:misc_RNA from 1 species